GGCAGCAUGGUCUUAGCUUGCUAAGACUGAUGGCGACCGGCGCACGGGUGCGUAACGCGUAUGCAACUUGCCUCACAGAGGGGGAUAACCCGUCGAAAGACGGACUAAUACUGCGUACACUCCACUUUGGGCAUCCAAAGUAGAGGAAAUGAAAUUCGCUGUGAGAUAGGCAUGCGUCCCAUUAGCUAGUUGGUGAGGUAACGGCUCACCAAGGCGACGAUGGGUAGGGGAACUGAGAGGUUGAGCCCCCACACUGGUACUGAGACACGGACCAGACCCCUACGGGAGGCAGCAGUGAGGAAUAUUGGUCAAUGGGCGAGAGCCUGAACCAGCCAAGUCGCGUGAAGGAUGACUGUCUUAUGGAUUGUAAACUUCUUUUAUACGGGAAUAACAAGAGUCACGUGUGGCUCCCUGCAUGUACCGUAUGAAUAAGCAUCGGCUAACUCCGUGCCAGCAGCCGCGGUAAUACGGAGGAUGCGAGCGUUAUCCGGAUUUAUUGGGUUUAAAGGGUGCGUAGGCGGCCUGUUAAGUCAGCGGUGAAAUCUAGGAGCUUAACUCCUAAAUUGCCAUUGAUACUGGCGGGCUUGAGUGUAGAUGAGGUAGGCGGAAUGCGUGGUGUAGCGGUGGAAUGCAUAGAUAUCACGCAGAACUCCGAUUGCGAAGGCAGCUUACUAAGGUACAACUGACGCUGAAGCACGAAAGCGUGGGUAUCAAACAGGAUUAGAUACCCUGGUAGUCCACGCAGUAAACGAUGAUAACUGGGCGUAUGCGAUAUACAGUGUGCUCCUAAGCG
rnacentral:rRNA from 1 species